rnacentral:rRNA from 1 species
CCUACGGGUGGCAGCAGUGGGGAAUAUUGCACAAUGGGGGAAACCCUGAUGCAGCGACGCCGCGUGAGUGAAGAAGUAUUUCGGUACGUAAAGCUCUAUCAGCAGGGAAGAAAAUGACGGUACCUGACUAAGAAGCCCCGGCUAACUACGUGCCAGCAGCCGCGGUAAUACGUAGGGGGCAAGCGUUAUCCGGAUUUACUGGGUGUAAAGGGAGCGUAGACGGCAGCGCAAGUCUGGUGUGAAAUCCCAUGGCUUAACCAUGGAACUGCUUUGGAAACUGUGCAGCUAGAGUGCAGGAGAGGUAAGUAGAAGUCCUAGUGUAGCGGUGAAAUGCGUAGAGAUUAGGAGGAACACCAGUGGCGAAGGCGGCUUACUGGACUGUAACUGACGUUGAGGCUCGAAAGCGUGGGGAGCAAACAGGAUUAGAUACCCGGGUAGUC